rnacentral:rRNA from 1 species
AUAAUGGGUCAGCGACUUAUAUUCUGUAGCAAGGUUAACCGAAUAGGGGAGCCGAAGGGAAACCGAGUCUUAACUGGGCGUUAAGUUGCAGGGUAUAGACCCGAAACCCGGUGAUCUAGCCAUGGGCAGGUUGAAGGUUGGGUAACACUAACUGGAGGACCGAACCGACUAAUGUUGAAAAAUUAGCGGAUGACUUGUGGCUGGGGGUGAAAGGCCAAUCAAACCGGGAGAUAGCUGGUUCUCCCCGAAAGCUAUUUAGGUAGCGCCUCGUGAAUUCAUCUCCGGGGGUAGAGCACUGUUUCGGCAAGGGGGUCAUCCCGACUUACCAACCCGAUGCAAACUGCGAAUACCGGAGAAUGUUAUCACGGGAGACACACGGCGGGUGCUAACGUCCGUCGUGAAGAGGGAAACAACCCAGACCGCCAGCUAAGGUCCCAAAGUCAUGGUUAAGUGGGAAACGAUGUGGGAAGGCCCAGACAGCCAGGAUGUUGGCUUAGAAGCAGCCAUCAUUUAAAGAAAGCGUAAUAGCUCACUGGUCGAGUCGGCCUGCGCGGAAGAUGUAACGGGGCUAAACCAUGCACCGAAGCUGCGGCAGCGACACUAUGUGUUGUUGGGUAGGGGAGCGUUCUGUAAGCCU